rnacentral:lncRNA from 1 species
UUGAAUCACAUUUCUUCGUCAUGACGUCAUCCCCUUUUAUUUUUAGGCUCCCCUUUACAUCCGCCUUCAUAUUACGUAGUAUUUUCUAUUUGUUAUUUUUCAUUAUUACUGCGUCCUAGUUUGUUUUAGUUGUGCGAAAAACAGAUAGAGAGAGAGAGACAUUAUUCAACUAGCUACAUAUGAUGAGGUGGGCUCGGCUGGGCUUGUUCAAACUAUAGAUGUUAGCAUAUACCAUAUCUGCAUGACAAGCCGUAUCGAUUCGUGUUACAUUUCUUUUAUUUUUUUUUUUUUAUCUUUUUACGAUAGACUCUCUUUUGUUGUUGUCAAUUCAAAAGUUUGAUGUAUUAAAGUUGGCCGGCCCUUGUUUCAUGCCAAACAGACCACCCCCCCCUCAAAAACACGCUCGCUGCUGGUAUUUCAGUUCCUCAUUCCUACCUUCCUCAUUCUUGGCCUACUUCUCCAUUCUUUUCCCAGCGAAUGAAAUGUGUGUGUGUUUUGUUUUGUUUGUUUUUUUCGUUUUUCCCACAUCAGUUUGUUGAGCGCUGUGUUUUAUGAUGAGUAGACCCAGUUUGGCGGUAGUCAUAAGCAACGCACACUACAUAUCGUCCGUUUUUUGGCCAAAUUGGGUGCAUUCAAGACGUUGGUGGGACUUGGUCCGGAUAACGAUCUCUAGUCAUCCACCUCUAUUCAGCAACCAUGCCGUCUACAGCGUUCCAUGGUUGUUUUUUUUUUUUUUUGAUCGGGGGAGAAAACACUCACGUAUCACUAAAUUAGCCGAGUGGAUUUCUUGAGCGCCAUAUCCUGCAGCUCUCUGUAUGAUGGGGGCGCUUGAGUCUAUACGCCUAUUUUUCUGUACAUAUAUAUAUAAGUCUCAUUCGUUUUUUUUUUAGGGGGGGUUUCUUCUUAUAUAUUUUUCUUCAUCUUCUUCUACUAACGAUAGAACUAUAGUUUGCGAGCUACCACUAUACAAUCUACGGCCUUUGCUUCUUAACAAGGUCUACAUGCUUGUUCUUUUGUUUCGUUUUUGUUUUCUUUACGGCCUCAGGGGCCGUCUGCCCGCUCGCACCCACUUUCUCAAGCAAUUUCCACGGCAACUCUUCGCAGUCAGCCCCGACUUCAUUUUCUUUAUAGCAAAUAAAAAUAAAAAAAAGAGACUUACUGGACGGAUAAACGAACUGCAGAAACGAGCCAGAUGCUUUUCAUAUUUAUCAGCUUUUUCUUAAUCAUUUUCAUGUGUCCGUUGCGCACGCAUCCGCGAAACAAUUCGACGUGUCGAGAAUCAUCUUAGCUAAUAACUCGAGUCGUCCUUUUUCAUGCUGCUAUAGUAUAGUCGUAGUAUAUAGUAUAGUAUUAACAAUAUACGCAGAUGGUAUAACGGAGCACAAUCAGCUGUGACAAAACCCGUGUAGCGCACAAAGAGUUGAUUGAUGAUGCCACUCUUUUUCUCCUUUUUGGUAACACCCCAAGGGGUAUAUGUCAAAGAGAUUGAACGGGAACAUUGUCAAUUAUAUAUCCCACCACACACUUCUUCAAGCCGGCCGAGAUUCUGAGAGUCUUGUAGAUUUAGAAUCCGUUCCUGCUGGACGCUGGUGGACAUUCCGUUUCAUUUCCCCUGCGACGCGUUACUUGGAUGUAAACGCUAGUGUUGCGAUUACACCCAUCUUGCCAUGAUACGGAGGACAAGAUAUAUCUGUGCUUUCACCGUGUCCGAACACGGUCCUGAUAAAAUAAUAACGACGCCUGUCCGGAUGACGAGUGUGACCAUUUUUUUUUUUUUUUUUUUACUCGGGAUAUUAUUGCACAUGCAUCUCUGACUCUUUGCGCUUAUUUUCUCAUCUUUCGCUAUCCUGGGAAUCGUUUCAGCCAAGUCCAUCGCAAGUUGCGCACUGUAGUGCGUCACAAGCAGAUACGAUGCCUUUGCCAGCUGUUCCAUGUGCUGGAUUUCAAUGGGUUUUUUUUUUGUUUUUGUUUCACGUCACGUGAAUUGAGGACGAAAAAGACGUCGUCUAGUCGUUUUGCGGCUAAAUCCUUAAAUGUGUUUUUUCUGUGUCUCUGUUUGCCCUGUAGCCUUUGAUGCACUUUAUACGUGGGUUUUAGUUCUCACGUCUUUUGUUUCACGUCAAAGAAAACAAAACAGCAUCGAAAGCAGGAAAAUCCAUUUUCCAUUAUCAUCGGGUCUUUUCUUUCGCGUCGCUGUUGCUGAUGUGUUCCAAAACAUUCUACGCCGCUUUUAUGCUUUCCUCUCUACGUGAACGCACGCGGUGUGCAUGUUUCUAUCAUUCUCUUUGUCGUCAAACGCACACUGAUCCAAACUCUCGAAACUGCUGCGACAAAACGAACCUGCCCUACACGAUUUGUCCCUCGAAAGAUGUUGGCUUUUCGCUGCGUCCAUUCGGUUCCGUUCGAGUUUAUUCUUUGCCCAAUUUUGGCCGGAGGUUUUGAUUUGAUUGUUCUGCUUUUUUCUCUGCCUAUAGAAACUUUUUUCAUGGAACAUAUGAGUGGUCAGGCGAAAUAAUGCUUUGCUGACGCUCCAUGGAACGUGUAGAAACUAUCGAGUAACGUACGGGAGCGGGCAAAGGAAGGAGAGGAUAAAACUUCUCGCAUUGCCGUGUUUACCGACAGCGUGAAUCCUUACUCGUUUCGUUGGCUGUUGUUUGUUGUCCGGCAAACUCCAAACUCAAUCCAUUCACUGACGCGAUCUGUUAUAUUCCACACGUGCAUAUUAUUGAUUUCCUAUCUUGACACCCGUUUUACGUGAAUUCAGUUGCACUUGAUCUUCGAAGAUAACAGCCUGUUAUCUUCGUUACGAUCACUAGAAUUUAUUAUUGUAUUGCCAAGUUUGAACCAAUUUAUUAUUCAUAGUUACCUCUGGCCCGAAGGGGAAAUAUUUAACAUACACAGUCGGUCUGCAUUUUGAAAACAAUGUUCAACUUCUUAUCGUCUCGCCUCUCGGCUGCUGGCAAGGAAACGAUCAAACGAGAUGCAGCGUACAAGACAAUCACGCCCACUCGCACGCAUGUGUAAUCAUCUGAGUUAUUUUCCUUUAUAGCGCAUCCGCCAGUAGAAACAUGUUGCGGGAUCAAGUGAUGAAAGACGAGACGGCAAAGAGGCCACCCUCGGAAAUUGGCGGAGAAGAGACUCGUAUUUGGUGUGGUUUCCUUAACCACCCAGUUUUGCUGUUUCCUCCUUUUGAGUUGGCAAAGGAAGAGGAGCGAUUCGGAGAACGUAGACGUGUCUCAUAAUUCCACAAUGAUCCUUUUCGUCCAAUCAUUUGGAUAUUCAUGUGACAGUCAGAAAAGUCGUAAUGUAGCGUCAACCGCAUUCACAUUCGCAUCACGUCAUCUUUCAAUGUCGCUCCGUGUUUUCGCUUGCCAGUCAAAUCCAAUUUAGCCCACCCCAUGUUUUGUUCUUGUUUUUGUUUCCAACUUUUUUGUUUUUUCUUUAUAUUUUGAUUAUUAUUUUUAUAUGUUGGAUUGACAAAUUUAUCACGUUGAUUCGAUCGAUUCCAGCCAACGGGAAAGAAAAAGCCGCCAAAAAUCCAGUCACGUGCAAGCCCGGUGCUCCUGUACGUGUAGGUAUUAAAUAUAGACAAAUAUUUUGUUAUGUCUAUCUGAAGCGACGACUACCAUAUCAAGAAGAUCGCAUCACGAUCCGCUCAGAUAAUAUGGAUUCCGGCCAAAACGAAUGAAUAUCUCAAUCGCUGGUCAGGAGCUCCAUCCGAACGAAUAGCGUUAUUCUUCUAUUGCCUUUCAUCGGUUUGUCUCCUUGGCACUAAGAACGAAUGGCUUUUCAAUUUCGAACAACGCCCAUGAAAAGAAUAAGUAAGGAUUGGAUGGAAUGCCAUCGCACACGGUGAUCAUGUGCAUAACUAUAUACGUUCCAGCGAUGACACGUGAUGGCCUUUAACUCUUUUUUAGAGUAGAGUCAAUUUGCCCUUCGAUACUCCGCGAAUAACAUUUUUCUUGGCAAUGGUUAUACAGUUCUGAUUAGGUACGAGUGGUUUGAUUGGAGCACACAAUAGCAUCCCCUCCCCCCAUUGGAAUAUAUAGGGCUUCAGUGAAUUGGAAUUGGAUAGGUAUACAUGCAAUUUCUCGAUAGGAUACAAAGUUGUUUCUUCUUUUCUAACUCAGUCAUCAGGAUUUCCUUUCCUUUUAUACUGACUUCUUGGCAAAUAGAAGCAUACUCCUUGUCAGUAGGUUGCAGUUCAUGAUGGCUAUACCGGCUCUAAAGGACUUUGUCGUCGCGUAUAUAGGCUCGGAAAUCUUGGCUUGAGUGACGCUCAGCUGUGCGUACCAUCUCAAUGUUCAUCUGCGAUCGCUUGGUUUAUCACAAAGUGUUUGCAGACAUUGUGUUGUACUCGUUCACUAGGCUGUAUCAUUUUAUUGUGGCUAAAAGAGAGAGCCAGUCUAUACGUUUUGCAUAAAUACUUUCAGGGAGAUGUAGCGACCUGGGGCGUCCGGGUAAGUAGAUGUAUGUAGUUUGGUAUCACGGUGGGUGCGCUUGUCGCUUGGUUGGCGUAUAAAUAAACCCUUGUUUCUUGUCUCUUCCAAAGUUCUCCCACUUUCUCUCUCUCUUUCUCUCUCUGUGUGUGUGUGUCUACGGAGGAGACGCUUUUGGCUUUCCAUGUUCUCUCCUCCUUGUUUUGAUUCCGGGCGGGCCAAGAGUAGUAGAGGUCCAGCCGAUGGAGGGGUACGUAUAUACGCUUGUCGAAAUCCCUUGAAUACAAAAAUAAAUAUUUCAACGUCAAGAAAAAAGAAAAAUAAGGAAACCAGAAAAAAAAAAAAAUGGGACUGACAUGUAAAUAGAACAUGCAACUGCCUGUUCUUCACUCUGCUGAUUCCGGUGCAAUGGAUAGCGACCAUAUUAUUAGCAACUGUUUCUAGGAAAAAUAUUCUUGUGGUACAAAAACUGAACAGGACCAACACGACCGGCUUUCUCUUAAAAACUCUCUUCCCAUUCCACAAUUGGAAAUUGAAUGAUUUAUUACAACAAGUGAAUCGAUCAUUUUCUUUCUCUGAUAAGGACUUUAGGCAAUUUCCUUUGGCGUUGUAGGGGUAUUGAACAACAACAACAAAGAGUGGUUCGCCGGAUUCUAUAUCGAUCCAAAAGCGUCUAACAAUUCGACCACCGUGGAACACGCAAAGAAGAAAAGAAUUAAAAAAAAAAAAAGGCCCGGAAGCUAAGCAAGUGCGAAAAGGUUUAUUCUAGUAAAGGUCGUAUGUAAGAAUCGCUUCGGUUCAAUUUGCAGAUAAUUGGCAUCCUUUGAUAAAUGACUUAACACUCGCCGAUGUAUUUCUGGAACCAAGUAAUUGUUGAAACGUAAAUAGCCUUUCCUCCUGCAACAACAAAAAUAGCGUUAAAAGUUCCCUUUUUUUUUUUUUUUUUUAAAUUAUGGGAUGUUUUACCGACAUCGCCCCACAAUCAACUGCUCUUUUUUCUUGCGGCGAUGGGGAUUAGAAUAAAAGAACACGGAACGCCGUUUGACUGUUCUCCGGUUUUACCAUUUAUUUGGGAAUCAAAAGUUGCGUGUAAAAACGUGGUUUAAAUGGCGUUCCGCAGUAGACAACCUAAAACCAAAAAGAACAGGCCAAAAUGAGUGUCGAGUUCAUUUCCUCUUUUUGCCGAUGGCUGCGUGAACGACUGCGGCUAUUUUCGAACCACGGAAGAAUGAUUUUUUUAUAUUUCUUCACGUCUUUUUUCUGCUCUUGACUUU